rnacentral:rRNA from 1 species
GGCUCUUUGAUCAAUAUAUAUAAAGAGUCGAGCCUGCCCAGUGAUAUAUUUAACGGCCGCGGUACUCUGACCGUGCAAAGGUAGCAUAAUCAUUUGCCUUAUAAUUGAAGGCUAGUAUGAAUGGUUUGACAAAAACAAAGCUGUCUCUUUUUAAUUUUUUAGAACUUGAUUUUUAGGUGAAGAAGCCUAAAUAUAAUUGAAAGACAAGAAGACCCUAUCGAGCUUUAAAAAAUUUUGUUAAAAUAAAAUAGCUAUAAGAACUAAUUAUAACAAAAAAUUUUAGUUGGGGCGACUAAGGAACAAAAAAGCUUCCAAUCCUAUAUUUAUAACAUAUUGGUUUUGAUCCAAAACUUUUGAUUAAAAAAAUUAGUUACCGUAGGGAUAACAGCAUAAUCUUUUUUGAGAGUUCUUAUCGAAAAAAAGGUUUGUGACCUCGAUGUUGGACUAGAAUAUCCUAAAUGGCGCAGAAGUCUUUAAAGGUUGGUCUGUUCGACCACUAAUAUUCUACGUGAUCUGAGUUCAGACCGG